rnacentral:rRNA from 1 species
UACGAGGGGGGCAAGCGUUGUUCGGAUUCAUUGGGCGUAAAGGGUGUGUAGGUGGCGCCGUAAGUCGGGUGUGAAAUUUCGGAGCUUAACUCCGAAACUGCAUUCGAUACUGCGGUGCUUGAGGACUGGAGAGGAGACUGGAAUUCAUGGUGUAGCAGUGAAAUGCGUAGAGAUCAUGAGGAAGACCAGUGGCGAAGGCGGGUCUCUGGACAGUUCCUGACACUGAGACACGAAGGCCAGGGGAGCAAACGGG